GAUGAACGCUAGCUACAGGCUUAACACAUGCAAGUCGAGGGGCAGCACAGAGAUAGCUUGCUAUCUUGGGUGGCGACCGGCGCACGGGUGAGUAACGCGUAUCCAACCUGCCCAUUACUCUGGGAUAGCCUUGCGAAAGUAAGAUUAAUACCGGAUGUUGUUAAAAACCCGCAUGAGUUUUUAACCAAAGAUUUAUUGGUAAUGGAUGGUGAUGCGUGACAUUAGGUAGUUGGUGAGGUAACGGCUCACCAAGCCUACGAUGUCUAGGGGUUCUGAGAGGAAGGUCCCCCACACUGGAACUGAGACACGGUCCAGACUCCUACGGGAGGCAGCAGUGAGGAAUACUGGUCAAUGGACGAGAGUCUGAACCAGCCAAGUAGCGUGCAGGAUGACGGCCCUCUGGGUUGUAAACUGCUUUUAGUUGGGAAUAAAAAGAGGGACGUGUCCCUAAUUGUAUGUACCAUCAGAAAAAGGACCGGCUAAUUCCGUGCCAGCAGCCGCAGUAAAAC
rnacentral:rRNA from 1 species